CCUGCUGGUAGUCCGCGUUGGGCAGCGCCUCCUCCGAGGCGGCGUCCCCCGUGCCGGGGGCGCCGCCCUGCUGCUGGC
rnacentral:tRNA from 1 species